AUACAGAAGAUGUGCUAGUCUUUCCGGUAACAUUGAUCCCCGACUCAAUGUACCAACAACUGAGAAUAUUUUAGAUUAAGGUUUUAGGAUUUUAAAUCUCACUUGCAUGAUCUCAUCAUAGCCCUAAAACCAUUGCCCUAAUCUAUGGGGUUCAUCAUAAAUAUAAGAUGCAGCAUAUGAUGAAACAUAAUGUCUUUUUCAUUUAUAAUAAAAUGUCAUGUAUAUGAGCUGGAAAAUAAAAAAAAAUCCUAUCGCAAUACAGAUUGCGAUUGGCUUGUAGGGCAUUAUUCUUUCACUCCUAAGCACGUGCGCUAUAGCAUUAAAUCAAGCACACAAAUAAGUAGCACUUCAUUUGGUAAAACAACAAAAUUACAAAGCAAUUUAACCCAUAUUUUGAGGUAAAAAUCAUGUUAGUUAGUCACUUAAUAGAUUUUAAAAUAUAAUGUAAAGGAGUAACUUGGAUGCAUGUAUCCUCAAUGAACAUAUGAUAGAAGGCAAGUUAAACACAA
rnacentral:lncRNA from 1 species